AGAUCAAUAUUUCGGUCAUGCCGUUGGUAUGCACUGUUAUAAUUGAUUUCUCACCUUCUAAAGAACCGUAAUGCCAUUAAUUUGGUGUUACGGGGAAUUAGGACUGUUACCUUGAAAAAAUUAGAGUGUUUAAAGCAGGCUCACGCUUGAAUACAUUAGCAUGGAAUAAUGAAAUAGGACAUCCGAUUCUAUUUUGUUGGUUUCUAGGAUCGAUGUA
rnacentral:rRNA from 1 species